rnacentral:rRNA from 1 species
UGGGGAAUAUUGGACAAUGGGCGAAAGCCUGAUCCAGCCAUGCCGCGUGAGUGACGAAGGCCUUAGGGUUGUAAAACUCUUUCGUCGGGGACGAUAAUGACGGUACCCGAAGAAGAAGCUCCGGCUAACUUCGUGCCAGCAGCCGCGGUAAUACGAAGGGAGCUAGCGUUGUUCGGAAUCACUGGGCGUAAAGCGCACGUAGGCGGAUAGUUAAGUCAGGGGUGAAAUCCUGGGGCCCAACCCCAGAACUGCCUUUGAUACUGGCUGUCUCGAGGUCGAGAGAGGUUGGUGGAAUUCCUAGUGUAGAGGUGAAAUUCGUAGAUAUUAGGAAGAACACCAGUGGCGAAGGCGGCCAACUGGCUCGAUACUGACGCUGAGGUGCGAAAGCGUGGGGAGCAAACAGGAUUAGAUACCCCCGUAGUCCCUGAGCGGGCUGGCAAGGCGCAU